GCGGAACUUUCUUCCACACUUUCAGGAUGCUUGGUUCCAUUUGUUUCUCAGAGAAAGCAGAUCCCUGCCCAGAGGACUGACACCAGUGUCCACCAGAUUCAGCUGUCUUGUGUCCAUGGACCCAUGUCUACCUUGCAAAGCCAGAGGCCAGGAGGAACCCUAUGUCACCUUGUGAGUCCAUCCUCUCCACUGCCCAGAGAAGCCACAUCUAAUUGGUCAACCCAAAACAGAUGAGAUCGAUACCCAUUCUGAGAAGAUCUCUGGAGAACAUGUCACAAACUCUGCCAUUCAUUCUUGUGUCCAGUGGCUCCCCUCAUUAAGGCAUUUUUCCUUAUGUCUAAUCUCUGAAGUGUGAGACUAAGCCUACUUUCACUAUUAUUUCUCAGUAGAGAUGAGAACAGAGAAAAUAAGUUACUUAUAAUCAUGACCAUUGAGCCUCUUCCACCUUUAUCCCCCAUGGUUUACAAAGUCAUCUCAUGUUUUUUCACUGUUUCUGAUUGACAAUAUCUAUUUUAAUUUUUUUCUUAGUAAUACCAAACAUCCUGGUGUGUGUGUGUGUGUAUUACAAAAAUUUACUACUGGAAAGUGAAUUUAUCCCGAUGGUAAAAAUGGCAUGAGAAACUACGUUCCCUUACCCACAUUAAUGUUCUUCCUUCCUAACAUAAAUAAAUGCCCUAUCAGGUCUCUAGAAGGACAUCUUCCAUUUCUAGGAUGUAAAAUUUAGAAAAAUAAAGAUUCAU